UCAUUGGGUACGCAGUCGUUUAACGAGUUUACGAGUGUGUGUGUGUGUUUACGAUGGAUUACUAUAAUAUUAUGAAAGUGAAAAACAGUGUUUGGAUAUAAAACUGGAAUGAAACUGGUGAGACUGCAUUUCCGAUUUAGUUAAAAAGCGAAUGUACUCGAAUAACGCGAUGUUUUGUUGAACAAUUGAUGGAUUAAAUUUAAGAAAAGUGUCAGUGAAUUGUUCUUUAACUUUUCGAAGGAAAUCGAUGUGGAAUUAAAAUGGUUAUUUCUUUGAUGGUUUAGUCGUUCCUUUGUCAGUCGAUCAAAGAAUGUCUAUCCACAAAGAAUUGCCUGCUUACAUCCAGUGCUUUAAAAUAGAAAAGAUGGAUGGCGAUGAAGAAAUGUGUCUAGAAUUUUAACUCGUCAUGGAAGCAUAUUAAAAAUUACGAAAAUAAACAUGGACGUGGUUAUUAUACAACUUCGACGUCAGCUGAUGGCAUUAUGCCCAGCAGUGGAAACAGGAACACGGGAAUCAAUGAAGUCACAGCAAUUGGCAUCACCUCCAGCACCCAGUAAACCCCAAUGAUGAUGACGGCGUAAGCACAUUUUGACACCUACAACACAGACAAAAAAGCUGUUCUGCCAAGAGCUUGUCAUCACACAAGCCAUUCUUUUUUCAAGAGCAAAUCUGACAGAUUUCAGAAAUCAACAAAGGAGUGAUUCCUUCACUAUCAAAGUUUCCAAGGAAGAAAGAUACAACACAUUGUGCAUUGAUUUUCUUGGAUGGAACAUACGUGAACUUUUACAUAACUGUGAAGAUUCUAUAUAUGUCUGUCUGUAUACAAAAAUCAGAUACGUUGUUAUGAAGAUCAGAUUUUCAAAAAUAGUCAGAGUGUUGUAAAAUUUACAAUAAGAAGGCAAUGUCGACGAGUGCAUGGAAAUCAAUUUUAAACUAGUAAUAAAAAAACUAAGUAUGUAAAACACUGUGUUGUGAUCAUUUUUAAGUAAGACAGUGUUAUUCUAAACAGUAGCAUCAAGCUUGUAUAUGUAAUGCAUCAAGAUGAUUUCCUGUUUAUUGUGUAAUUAAUCAAUUGG